CCACAUGGAAACCCGGAACAGA
rnacentral:antisense_RNA from 1 species